AUGCAGUCGACGGCAGCACGGGGGCAACCCUGGUGGCGAGUGGCGAACGGGUGAGUAACAUAUCGGAACAUAUCCGGAAGUGGGGGAUAACGUACCGAAAGGUACGCUAAUACCGCAUAUGCCCUGAGGGGGAAAGGAGGGGAUCGCAAGACCUUUCGCUUUCGGAGUGGCCGAUAUCGGAUUAGCUAGUUGGUGAGGUAAAGGCUCACCAAGGCGACGAUCCGUAGCUGGUCUGAGAGGACGACCAGCCACACCGGAACUGAGACACGGUCCAGACUCCUACGGGAGGCAGCAGUGGGGAAUUUUGGACAAUGGGGGCAACCCUGAUCCAGCCAUGCCGCGUGAGUGAAGAAGGCCUUCGGGUUGUAAAGCUCUUUCAGACGGAAAGAAACGGUCACGGCCAACACCCGUGACUAAUGACGGUACCGUCAGAAGAAGCACCGGCUAACUACGUGCCAGCAGCCGCGGUAAUACGUAGGGUGCGAGCGUUAAUCGGAAUUACUGGGCGUAAAGCGUGCGCAGGCGGUUUUGUAAGACAGACGUGAAAUCCCCGGGCUUAACCUGGGAACUGCGUUUGUGACUGCAAGACUAGAGUGUAGCAGAGGGGGGUAGAAUUCCACGUGUAGCAGUGAAAUGCGUAGAUAUGUGGAGGAAUACCGAUGGCGAAGGCAGCCCCCUGGGCUAACACUGACGCUCAUGCACGAAAGCGUGGGGAGCAAACAGGAUUAGAUACCCUGGUAGUCCACGCCCUAAACGAUGUCAACUAGGUGUUGGGGAAGGAGACUUCUUUAGUACCGCAGCUAACGCGAUAAGUUGACCGCCUGGGGAGUACGGUCGCAAGAUUAAAACUCAAAGGAAUUGACGGGGACCCGCACAAGCGGUGGAUUAUGUGGAUUAAUUCGAUGCAACGCGAAAAACCUUACCUACCCUUGACAUGUCAGGAAGAUACCAGAGAUGGGAUUGUGCCCGAAAGGGAACCUGGAACCACAGGUGCUGCAUGGCUGUCGUUCAGCUCGUGGUCGUGAGAUUGUUGGGUUUAGUCCCGCAACGAGCGC
rnacentral:rRNA from 1 species